UACGUAGGGUGCAAGCGUUGUCCGGAAUUAUUGGGCGUAAAGAGCUCGUAGGCGGCUUGUCGCGUCGACUGUGAAAACCUGGGGCUUAACUCCGGGCCUGCAGCCGAUACGGGCAAGCUAGAGUUCGGUAGGGGAGACUGGAAUUCCUGGUGUAGCGGUGAAAUGCGCAGAUAUCAGGAGGAACACCGGUGGCGAAAGCGGCGCACUGGACCACAACUGACGCUGAGGCGCGAAAGCUAGGGGAGCAAACAGG
rnacentral:rRNA from 1 species